rnacentral:rRNA from 1 species
UACAGAGGUCCCAAGCGUUGUUCGGAUUCACUGGGCGUAAAGGGUGCGUAGGCGGUCGGGUAAGUCUGAUGUGAAAUCUCACAGCUUAACUGUGAAACUGCAUUGGAUACUAUCCGGCUCGAGGAAUGGAGGGGAGACUGGAAUACUUGGUGUAGCAGUGAAAUGCGUAGAUAUCAAGUGGAACACCAGCGGCGAAGGCGAGUCUCUGGACAUUUCCUGACGCUGAGGCACGAAAGCCAGGGGAGCAAACGGG